AGCAUGCUUUUCUGCUUUUUUUCUUUCCAGGUCGUCUCACUGCCCUAGGCAUGCCAAGGAACACAGGAGGGCAGGUAUCUUUUGCGCACCUUCCGGAUUCAAAUGGAGACUUGAGGUACUCUGAGGAGGCUCUUAGCCAAAGCUCGGAAACGGCAGUGCCGAAGCACACACCUUGAGAACGUCUUGACAUCCAUGUCCGACCGAGGAUGGAUUUUGUCCCCUCCCCCUGCGAAAGCUAAGUGUCGGGGCCCGUGGUCGGGAGAAGGGGAAAAACCUUUAGUAUCACAGGGGGCAGUUUCAUGUCAGCGUAGCGGAGAGGUCUGUAGCGGGACGGGCCCUCUGGAAGUGAAGGGAGAGGCUUUCUCUUCAGCUUCAUCAGAGCCUUUGCCGGGCAGGGCAGUUCCGACCCCUCUCCACAGCGUCACGAACUUUGCGUCGUCAGCCUUCCUCGACUUGGCAUCGUCACGGAUCUUUCUCCCGAGGAGCUCGCCUUCGGGUCUGCAGCUAUAGCCACGAUCACUCGGCCGUCCGCUUCCUUCUCUAGGCUUGCUGAGCCUCUGGAGCAUCUUCUCAACUGCUUUGGCACUGACUUCUUUUAAUGAGUUACAUUUCAUUAACACACGCUAUUGUCAUAGGGCUUCCUUCCUUUGGAGUCAUCAGCUGUGCAUCGUUCUGAUGCACUGGCUGUGUGUCAGUGCUGCUAUUGUGUCUAGACUUCAGGCUGACUGACCUCACUAAUGCCCAGCUGAGAGAAAAAUAAUAAAUGCUUCGGGCCAGGUUGGCUCUUUACACUUAGUGAGCUGUUUGGGCACUUUCUUUAAACCUCUGGUUGCUGGGUUUUUUUCUUGUCAAUGUAAAAAAAUGACUAUUUUACAAUUUAUAUGUAUAUAGUUAUGCAGUCACCCUGUUCUAGGAUUAAGAGUUCUGGAAUACACAUCUGAUACAGUGGCCUUGUGCUGAGCUUGGCUUUUGGGGACCACCCUUCUGUAAGGGAUCUCUGUGUCAAUCUGUCUCAGUUGGGGUAAGGAGAUCAGAUGCUGAAGCAAAAAUAAAGAUGGUACCCUCCCAACAACAACCUGUACAGCCUGUGCAACCUGACAAAUCUUCCUUCUCAAGGAAUUGCCCCUCCCAAAGGGCAGUGAGCAGCAGAUCUGAGCUGCUUUACAAUGCGUGCCUUUUGCAUUCAGGAAUCUCACACGUGGGAGGGGUGGCUGAGGUUCUUGGGGAAAGCCAGCAGGAAGGCAAGGGCUCAAGCUUGGCUCCACUGUUUUGGCUCUGUACAAGCACAGAAAAAACUGAGCAUGCAUUGGGUGAACUGUGCACUUUGGGUGUUCCCUCUGCUCCCCUCAGGUGGGAGGAAGGCUCCUGCUUUGGUGCCCAGCUUCAUCUUUUGGCUUCAGGGAGAAAUCUGGAAUUCUUGCCACUAACAAAAUGGCCAAUAAAUCAAUCAAACUUCAAUCUGUACACCCCUAGCAGGCCUAGGUCUUGAGGUUCAGGAAUUGAGGAUGACCAGGAAAAAUGAAAUAUGUGUCUGCAGUCUGUUUUUCUAUCUCAAUGUGCCCAGAACAUCCACUCAGCCUCUUAGGGACAGCUACAGCAAACAGGGAGGCUGAGGAAGAGCCCUCAGUGCAGGGCCCAGGUUUUUGCUUUCAACAUGAUCCAAUAUAAAAUCCUAACCUGGCACCUGUGCAGGUGUGAGAAGCUGUGAGCACUGUUACCAACAGCAGCAUUAUUAAAAUUAAGGAUUGCUGUAGCAAAGAGAUGAAAGACACAUCUCUGUUACUGCAGGAUGGAGGAAGUUAGCUCAGGUUAUGUGAAAUCAGGCACUGCUAACUCUGAGCUGACCUCUAAAAAUGGUGUCCUUACCCAACAAUUUGACUUUGCAAUCAAAACUUCCUUUUAUUGUACUCUGUAAUUAGAGUAUAUAAUAUAAUCAGCCCUUGAUUUUGGUUUAUUAAAUGCUUAUUCAGCACUAAGUGGCAAUUAAGCAUUGAAGUGCCUUCAGUGAAUCCCAAAACCUGAUUAUCAUCAGUCAUAAUAACUUUGCCUCACGUGUACAUUUUGUCAAGUUCUGCAGAUACGACUGCCAAAAAUGCAGGAGAGAGGUUUGUGAGCUCCUCCUUAUCCCCAGCAGAGGAGAACUGACAAGUGAAACCAGUGAGCUGUUCCUUUUAAAGAUGUUAAAAAUAAACCCCUUUCUCCAGCAAACUGCAUUAACUUCUGCUACUUCAGCUGCAGGAAUCUGCUGAUGGAGCUGUGUUCACUGAUCCCUGGAAUGUAACACUUUGUCUCCAUGCACAUAGGACCUAGUUACAAUUGUUACACUGGAAAAGUUGCAAGCCAAACUACACUGCCACAAAAUAACCUUGGAUAUUAGGUAGAUGCAAACAUACAGCAAAAAAAAAAAAAAAUCUUAUUCCAGGCAAUUUGCUGUUUGAGUUCUUGACAUCUGUGCUAACUAGAGUACAUGACGCUGAAACUCAGAUUUGUUUAGACUUCAUUUGUUUUUAAGGUGAGGAUCUUAAAGAUUCCUUUCUCAAAAUACCUUUUAUGUCUGUAAAGUAUCUGUCAAAAGUUACGAGUGAUCUCUUGAGCAUCUGCCCUGCAAUUCCUGUGGUAAAAUUCACAGCUGCAUCUCUACCCACGGUACCCUGUGACUCAGCAGCAUUGCUGUGCUACCCAAAAAAUGAUAUUUUCUGUUAAUCCAGCUGCUCUUGUCUGGGAGUGCUGGGCACCAACCCCAUGGCUGUAAACUGAGGCUUUCCAGUCGAUCCUGCAGCUGUUUUUACCACGUGAACAAUGAACAGAAGGUAUUUGAUGAAUUUGUGGCAACUGCCGUGGGAAACUCAGAUGAAAAACUACCAGCUGAAAAUAUUAUUGUAACACUGACAUUUGCAAUACAAUCUUAUAAUGCAUACUGUGUUCUCAGUGGAAUCAUCUGCCUCCUGUUUGGAAAUCUUCAGAACUAAUCUCAGCAGUGUGAGCAGGCUUUAGUUCUGGGUGACAGCUCUGGCAGGACGAGGCUUCACAAAGAGGGAAAGGUAUUCACUAUGAAAACAUGAGUGUGUCAUUGGGGUCUUUGUGCUUUGAUGUAUCUAGAUAUUUUUCUAUGUUCACUGCACUGUAAAAAUAUCAACCAAAUAACUGUUAAGGAGCAAAAAUAAACAAUAAAGGGGCACUUUUUCAUGGCGGUUCGGUGAGCUGUGCAUCUGGGACUCCUCAGGAAUGCAAGUUCUAAUAAACUACUCAAAAUGUUGCAGAGUUAUCAACAGAAAAGGGUAAUCUGCUCACAGACAGAUAAUUGCACUGGUAGAACACAAAUACAUGCAUUAUAUAUAAGUAGAAACAUUUAUAAGUAGAAACAGUUUUACUGGAGCAUGUAGAAUUAAAAUACUGCACACAGCUAGCGACAGACAAAUGAAAUUGUCAGUAUUUUCAAGUCUUUUGAUUGACUUUCUGCUUUAAGGUGGCAUUAGACUGAACUACAAGGUGUGUUUUUAUACUGCUCUGUGGUCAUUGUCCAUGUAACUUGACCAUGUCAUGGGGUUUAGCUAAAGCCUUUUUUAUCUUGCUAGAACAAUACAUAGUUCAAAUUCUUAGAUUUCCAUUUUCAAAAAUGAAAGUACAAACUUGGCCAAUGAAAAUAUUUCUAUGUUUAAAAAAAGUCUUGAAAUAAUUUAUUUGCCCAUGAUAUUGGUAAUAUGAUAUAAUAUGAUUCAAUAAUUUAUUUGUACAUGAUGUUGGUAAUUUAUUUGUACAUCAUGUUGGUAUAUGAUUUCUGGUAAAUAUGCAUUUAUCAGAAAAGACCAUAUAUGUGAUUUUAACUGCUAUGAAAAUAAAGGUACAAAUUCUUUUCCUCACUGAAUAACAUCCAUCCAUCUAAGGUUGUGGAUUAAUGCUACUCAUCAGUGCUGCACAGUAAAUUCAGAGUAAAACAAGGAAUUUUAAAUUUAAAAACUUGGGACCAUAUUAAAUAAAACAUUAAAAGAAGCAAAUGUUUAGUUAUGCCAUAUUGCUUUUCAUAGCAUAGCCUGGAUGUGUUAGCCUGGUAAUUGGUAAAUAAGAAAAGGAGAAAAAUAUUGUCUGGAAAUUUGACUGGAAAAAAAAAUAAAAAGGAUCUGGGAAAAUCUAA